GGAACUGUGCCUGAGCCACCCAAGGACCACUUUGAUAGAGUGAAUUACAGAGGUUAAAAUCCCCUCAGUUCCU
rnacentral:tRNA from 1 species